rnacentral:rRNA from 1 species
AUUGAACGCUGGCGGCAGGCUUAACACAUGCAAGUCGAACGAGCGGCGGACGGGUGAGUAAUGUCUGGGAAACUGCCUGAUGGAGGGGGAUAACUACUGGAAACGGUAGCUAAUACCGCAUCCCAUCAGAUGUGCCCCGAUGGGAUGAGCUAGUCGGGGGGGUAACGGCUCACCUAGGCGACGAUCCCUAGCUGGUCUGAGAGGAUGACCAGCCACACUGGAACUGAGACACGGUCCAGACUCCUACGGGAGGCAGCAGUGGGGAAUAUUGCACAAUGGGCGCAAGCCUGAUGCAGCCAUGCCGCGUGUGUGAAGAAGGUCUUCGGAUUGUAAAGCACUUUAAGCUGGGAGGCGUUACCAACAGAAGAAGCACCGGCUAACUUCGUGCCAGCAGCCGCGGUAAUUC